CCUACGGGCGGCAGCAGUAGGGAAUUUUCGGCAAUGGGGGGAACCCUGACCGAGCAACGCCGCGUGAACGAAGAAGUUAUUCGUAAUGUAAAGUUCUUUUAACAGGGAAGAAAGAGAAAUUUGACGGUCCCUGCCGAAUAAGCUCCGUCAAACUACGUGCCAGCAGCCGCGGUAAUACGUAGGGAGCAUGCGUUAUCCGGAAUUAUUGGGCGUAAAGGGUGCGGAUAUGGCAUAGACAGUCUUUUGUAAAAAUGCUGGGCUAAAACCCGUAGGGCAAAAGAUACUGCAAAGCUAGAGUAUGACAGAGGCAAGUGGAACUACAUGUGUAGCGGUAAAAUGCGUAAAUAUAUGUAAGAACACCAGUGGCGAAGGCGGCUUGCUGGGUCGAUACUGACAUUGAGGCACGAAAGCGUGGGGAGCAAACAGGAUUAGAUACCCGAGUAGUC
rnacentral:rRNA from 1 species